rnacentral:rRNA from 1 species
UACGUAGGGGGCAAGCGUUGUCCGGAUUUAUUGGGCGUAAAGAGCGUGUAGGCGGCCAGGUAGGUCAGCUGUGAAAACUCGAGGCUCAACCUCGAGACGUCGGUUGAAACCAUCUGGCUAGAGUCCGGAAGAGGAGAGUGGAAUUCCCGGUGUAGCGGUGAAAUGCGCAGAUAUCAGGAAGAACACCCGUGGCGAAGGCGGCUCUCUGGGACGGUACUGACGCUGAGACGCGAAAGCGUGGGGAGCGAACAGG